GACGAACGCUGGCGGCGUGCCUAAUACAUGCAAGUCGAACGAGAGGGACCGGUGCUUGCACUGGUCAAUCUAGUGGCGAACGGGUGAGUAACACGUGGGUAACCUGCCCAUCAGAGGGGGAUAACAUCCGGAAACGGAUGCUAAAACCGCAUAGGUCUUCGAACCGCAUGGUUUGAAGAGGAAAAGAGGCGCAAGCUUCUGCUGAUGGAUGGACCCGCGGUGCAUUAGCUAGUUGGUGAGGUAACGGCUCACCAAGGCCGUGAUGCAUAGCCGACCUGAGAGGGUGAUCGGCCACAUUGGGACUGAGACACGGCCCAAACUCCUACGGGAGGCAGCAGUAGGGAAUCUUCCGCAAUGGACGCAAGUCUGACGGAGCAACGCCGCGUGAGUGAAGAAGGUCUUCGGAUCGUAAAACUCUGUUGUUAGAGAAGAACAAGUGCUAGAGUAACUGUUAGCGCCUUGACGGUAUCUAACCAGAAAGCCACGGCUAACUACGUG
rnacentral:rRNA from 1 species